AGACAUUCUUCAAGACUCCAUGGGAAAGGCUCCCUGAGUGUGUGGGCGUGAGCGCUUUGCAUGUGAGCCCACACGGGGAGAAGGAGAAACUGGGGGAUGCACUCACUCCUGUGGCACAAGCCCAAGGGGAAGGGCCGGGGGGGGGGAGCCCCUCCUGUCACCUCGGUUUAAUUAAGGGCGUGUUAGAGGAGGACUUUCCUCAAGAAAAUGCCACGAGCAUCUGUGGGGUGUUUGAAGUAGGCAGUUCAUUUGCAGCAUAAGGAAGAACGAUUUCAUUCCACUGAGCAAACAGGCAGGGAGAUGAAGAGCGGCGGCGGUGACUUUUAAUUCCGCUGUGAGGAGCUUAUGGAAGACAGGUCGGCAAUGACUGCAGAGAGGGGGGAGUGCAGCAGCUGCACUGUUAAUGGCAGGGGCGUCUGCUUCUUCCGAAUCUUGUGGAGGUCUUCGUUCUUCCACCGAUGGCUUGGGCGGUCUCCAUCCCAUUCCGUUGUCUCAGUUCUUCCCUGAGGAAGACGGGAUUCUUUCAGUUCUUGGUGAUCUGUGAUCCGUGGGGUUCACCCUGGGGAGAAACUGGAGCGCAUCCUUCAUAAGCAUUUUCGCCACCUUGCCAAGGUGCUGGGGCGUGGCCCUUGGUCUCCAGGCGCUCCCAGCCCAGGCUUCCCACUCAGUUUGACUUUGAAGACAGAGAGAAGCUAAUUUUAAUCAGUAUUUUCUUCCAAUUAAGCUUUUGCUGCGUGGCUGCAGGGUGCACACUGUUGCUGGAAAUCUCUGCUGUCUUCUUCCGUUGUGUGGCUGUGUUCAUCUUGCUUAGGUGCCGUGGAAAUCCCGUGAUGCCGCCGCCUCCUCUCUGAGUGGGGAGGAGAUGCUGGCCGCCUGCUCAGCCUCCCCGCCGUCGGGUAGCUCCCUCUCCAUCUUCUCAAGUCUCUUCUGGAGGGAGGGGAAGAGGAAGAGCUUUGCUUACAGCAGUUUUCUUCCGCAAGGGCCAGCUUUGGGAGGGUAUUGCUCCCGGGUUUCCUCACUUCCUAGGCUGCUUGAUGGAGAACAAUGCUGUGAAUUCAUGUAAACCUGGGCGCCCGGCUCUGCAGGCAUUUUCUCAUAAUGAAUUGCCUCCCAGACCCCAAUGCUUGUAAGAGUGACAGGGCCUGUCACACAGAUUCCUGAGGCCUUUCCGUGGUGGCCUCUCCAUCUCUUAUUUCCUGUAUCACAGAAAUCACUCUCAGCAUUUAAAAUAAAGUGAAUCUAAUAGAAGGGCUCGGUUAUUAUGGCUUAGGGAAGAGAUGGGUAGUCAUGUAGAGGGCAGUAGGUCUUGUAGAGAUGAGAAACAACAAGAGGCUGCAUUACCCCUAUCUGGAGGGACUAAGGGAGAUGGUGCUGUUCUUGGAGCCCAUGGGUUGGGGUCACCCAUAGCUGUCUGGCCAGCAUGAUCUGGGCCCAAGGAGGAAACACAUUUUCUGCUGGGAUGCUACUGAAAACAGAUAGAGAAAGGGAGAAACACGCUGGCCUCUCCCUUCCUCCGGCUUUCCCGUCUCUUAUUAGCGCCCCUGUUGGUAAGCCCAGUGGGAAGCCACUUGUUGAGGGAGCAUGGCAAACAGCCUGCCAGGGCGGGUCCCUCUGUACGACAGUUGAGCAGAGCAAGGCUGGGAAAGAUUGAGGAGCAAAGGGGCUCAGGGUGGCACAACAUGGGUCUCACCCAUAGGGUCUCCCCAAGUCCCUAAGCAGUUCCAGCCCUCUGGAUUAUUGCAAGGCUUGGUUGUGUUUGGGAACCCGACGUAAAUGUCUGUGUGAGCAGUGUUGCUUGUUUCCAGGAGUCGCAGGGUCUGCCACGUCCCCUGUUCACCUUUCUGACCUUCUCGUUCUGGUUCCUAGUUAAUCUUGUUUUCCACGCCACCUCCUCAUCUUCCUGCUGACUCUGGCCACACGUUUCCUCUAACUAGCUCAGAUCUGAUUUGCCAAUCUGCAGAGGGUUCAAUUUCAUCCCAACUAAUUUGGCCCUGAUUUCUCCCUGCACUCCCUGAUUCCCUCCUUGGUCAUUAGGAAUCAUUUACUUUGAUAAGGUAAUUAAGAUGCUGGGCAUAAUUUAUCAGCUAACAUGGCUAUAUAAGGAUUUCAUAGGAAUGAAGACAGUGGUAAGGCUGUGAUUCCGGGUCCUGUAAAUACAAACCCAUCCAGUGCAUUGACACUGACUGGCAGUAAACUACCACUCCUUAGACUCACCAAGCUUAUAUAAUUCUCUGUAGAGACAGCUGGAAAAUUAUCCUUGGGUGCCACAACACUAAUUUUAAUUUUAAAGAAAUGAGCCAUGAACUGCUGAAAAUAAUAAUUCUCAAUGAUGACACCUGGGAGGCUGUUGUGGGUAUCAACCAAUACAUUAAUUUUAUCUCUGGUUUCCAAGCCGCAGAAAUCCUCUUGUUAGUUAUACGAGAGAUGUGUUAUGGCACAGCCCAUACAGCUAUAAACACAAAAAGGUUUUUAAAAAAUGGUUCUCCACUCUGCUGAGCAGGUCUCUGCUCGGCCUUAAUGGGAUCUGCCUGCUUGGAAGGGUAGGCAGUUGACCAGGUGUCUGUCUUUCUGAUAAGCAUGUCACAAUAACAGUGCUAACUUUCUUGUUUUAGGAGAACCGUAUUUUAAAAAGAUGCCAUUCCUAUUUAGAAAACUGUGUUUCUCUUUUUGGUUGAUUUGAGCAGUUGCUCUUUGAGACUGAAAGAGUCCGUUUUUCAGCCACAGUGAAUAUCGUACGAUACACUACCACCAAGUGAUAUCCACCGUUAGUUUCAGAAAUUGAGAUACAAAAGCUAAAAAGAAAACCACUUCCGAAUUCCAAAGGAAAAGGCCAGCAUUACAUUCUAAUUUCAACUCGUCAUCACCGUCACCAUCAAAGCCCGUUUGCCUCUCUGUUUGUAAAUUUUAUCAGAAUUUGCCUGUUUUCAGGUUCACUUAACAGAUUGGAGUGGUUUCUUCAAAUAUCCUCAUGAUGAUAAGCCCUGGUUCCAAUUCCUGUAGCUCCCCAUUCAACUGCUCUGUAAGCUAUGUGACGGAUCUUAUUGGAGAGUGUGUACGAGGCCUGAGCAGAGGGAGUCAGGCCCUAAAUGGCUGCAGUUUUGAUGGCCCCGUGUGGCUGCUUCAGAGUCAGGAAGGUUGAAAGUCUAAUAAAGGAAUUCUCUAGUGCUGAAGGACAAGAGUCUGCAGUUGCUUAUUCCCUUAAUUAUUUAAAUUUCUGUCUUUUCGCAUCUCGGAAGCACCCUCCAUGGGACUACCACAGAGGAGGAGAUUUAUUUCUCUUGACAAAGAUCACGUGGUUUGCUCAGAAGCAAGUGGCCGCUGGAGCUCCGGAUGAGUCUGGAAGCCACCUGACAUGUUCUGAGGCUACUCAAGCAGCCCUGUGGAGGCGCCCAGGUGGCAAGGAACUGUUGUUCUGGCCAAGAAUCAGAGAAGAACUGAGGCUCCUGCCAGCAACCACGCGACUGAGCUUAGAAGUGGAUCCUCAGCUCCAGUCAAGCCAUCAGCCACCACCGGCCUCCGCCAGCGGCCCCGCCUGCAUCUUGUUUGCAACUUCAUGAGAGACCUUGAGUGAAAACCACGCAGCUAAGGCACUUCCGAAUUCCUGACCCUCAAAACUGAGCUAAUAAAUGUUUGUUGUUUAUGUCACCAAGUUUGGGGGUAAUGUGUUAUGCAGUAACAGACAACUACUAUAGGGAGGAAUCCCACCCCCAGAAAUAGUUCAUAAAACUGUUACCCGGGAGAUUAAAGAAAAAUUGCAUGGAUGGAAAU
rnacentral:lncRNA from 1 species